rnacentral:rRNA from 1 species
AGUAAUGUCUGGGAAACUGCCUGAUGGAGGGGGAUAACUGCUGGAAACGGUAGCUAAUACCGCAUAACGUCGCAAGACCAAAGAGGGGGACCUUCGGGCCUCUUGCCAUCGGAUGUGCCCAGAUGGGAUUAGCUAGUAGGUGGGUAACAGCUCACCUAGGCGACGAUCCCUAGCUGGUCUGAGAGGAUGGCCAGCCACACUGGAACUGAGACACGGUCCAG